rnacentral:misc_RNA from 1 species
GAAAUGCGAUAAGUCAUGUGAAUUGCAGAUAUCAGUGAAUCAUCGAAUUUUUGAACGCACCACGCACUCUUAAGUUCCUACUUAAGAGUAUGUCUGUUUGAGUGUCACUAUAAUAAUAAUCACUUAUUUUUUUAAAAAAAAUUAAGUAUAAUUGAGAGUCCAAAAAAUUAUAUUUUUUGGUCUUUUUAAAUAUAUUAAUAAAAACUAUAUAGAUUAAAAAAAUAUAGGUAAUUAAGUGUUUUUUUUACACAUAAUUUUAUCCUAUAUUUUAAUCUAAAUUUAAUAGUUUUUUAUUAAUCAAAAGGGAAUUUAAUAAUCACUAAUAUUGACAUCAAAUCAGACAAGAUUACCCGCUGAACUUAA